rnacentral:rRNA from 1 species
AAUUUCUUCUUUUCUUUUUAAACAAUAGUUCAAUUAGAGAUGUUAGAGAUGGCUUUAAUAUGGUGGUGUCACAAAAUCGGAGGCCACGACUGUUUACUAAAAACACAAUUCAGAGCAAUGAUGAAAAUCAUAGUAUUCUGGAUGAAAUUUGCCCGAUGCCAUUAACAUAAAAGAGGUAAUGGGAAACUGUUACUAAUUGAAAGUCUGGUUAAUAGCGGUCUUAACUAUGAGGAUCCUAAGGUAGCAAAAUCAGUUGGCCAUUAAAUGUGGUCUGGUAUCAAUAGUGUAACGAUGGUCUCACUGUCUCUACAACUUGCUCAGUGAAAUUGAAUUAUCCGUGCAGAUGCGGAUUGCCUCCAGGUGGACGGGAAGACCCUAU